rnacentral:rRNA from 1 species
UACAGAGGUCUCAAGCGUUGUUCGGAUUCAUUGGGCGUAAAGGGUGCGUAGGCGGCGCGGUAAGUCGGGUGUGAAAUCUCGGGCUUAACUCCGAAACUGCAUUCGAUACUACCGUGCUUGAGGACUGGAGAGGAGACUGGAAUUUACGGUGUAGCGGUGAAAUGCGUAGAUAUCGUAAGGAAGACCAGUGGCGAAGGCGGGUCUCUGGACAGUUCCUGACGCUGAGGCACGAAGGUCAGGGAGCAAACGGG